rnacentral:rRNA from 1 species
UUGAACGCUGGCGGCAGGCCUAACACAUGCAAGUCGCGCGGAUGAAGGGAGCUUGCUCCUGGAUUCAGCGGCGGACGGGUGAGUAAUGCCUAGGAAUCUGCCUGGUAGUGGGGGAUAACGUCCGGAAACGGGCGCUAAUACCGCAUACGUCCUGAGGGAGAAAGUGGGGGAUCUUCGGACCUCACGCUCUCAGAUGAGCCUAGGUCGGAUUAGCUAGUUGGUGGGGUAAAGGCCUACCAAGGCGACGAUCCGUAACUGGUCUGAGAGGAUGAUCAGUCACACUGGAACUGAGACACGGUCCAGACUCCUACGGGAGGCAGCAGUGGGGAAUAUUGGACAAUGGGCGAAAGCCUGAUCCAGCCAUGCCGCGUGUGUGAAGAAGGUCUUCGGAUUGUAAAGCACUUUAAGUUGGGAGGAAGGGCAGUAAGUUAAUACCUUGCUGUUUUGACGUUACCAACAGAAUAAGCACCGGCUAACUUCGUG